UUCUCAAUAGCUUAACGGUAAA
rnacentral:tRNA from 1 species